GAUGAACGCUGGCGGCGUGCCUAAUACAUGCAAGUCGAACGGAGAUUGUAGCAAUACGGUCUUAGUGGCGAACGGGUGAGUAACGCGUUGGUAACCUGCCCCGAAGCGUGGGAUAACGGUCCGAAAGGACCACUAAUACCACAUGUGAUCCCGAGGAAUAGAUACUUGGGAUGAAAGGAGCAAUUCGCUUCGGGAGGGACCUGCGUCCCAUCAGCUAGUUGGUAGGGUAACGGCCUACCAAGGCGAUGACGGGUAGGGGACCUGAGAGGGUGGCCCCCCACAAUGGAACUGAAACAACGGUCCAUACACCUACGGGUGGCAGCAGUAGGGAUAUUGGUUAAUGUGCGAAAGCGCGAACCAGCAACGCCGCGUGUGCGAUGAAGGCCUUC
rnacentral:rRNA from 1 species